GUUGCUGAUGCAGCUGCAGAGGAUCCAGAGGGGAAGCCCCCAGAUCUCUCUCUGCUAGCCGGACAGGGAGUCGCGCUCCUGAGCCAUACGUGCGAACAGAGCAUGCAAACAGGCACGCUCUGUAAGGGUGCGCCAGCGUUCGUGCAGGUGGGGCAGAGAGAGAGUCUUCCUCAGGAGGGAGGAGGCUCCACCAAUAAGGAGAGAGUGGAUUCCUGGCCCUGCAGAGACCCCGCGUGCAAAACGUCCAACUAAUCGGUGGCAGCUGGUUCCUGUCAAGGCCAGGGCAGCUCAUACAACUGCUGUGCCUGCUCCCCAGACACCUUACUACAAGGCCUUGGGACACCAACUCAAGAAGAUAGGAGCUCAGGUUGCCUGAUCGCGUACGGUGGGCUUUAAACUAGCUUUGCCAGGAGAAGGGGCCACUCCAAGAGGAUGCUUCGCUAGCAUGCAGGGUGACAAGAGAAAGGGACACCCAG